CUCCCAUUAGCCACACGAUUAACCAGAUUACACGGGAAGCCGCUAAGGUGCCUCUUCACCCACCUCUACAGCCAUGCUCGUUCUGGAGAACAGAUAAA
rnacentral:lncRNA from 14 species